rnacentral:rRNA from 1 species
UACGGAGGAGGCAAGCGUUGUCCGGAAUCAUUGGGCGUAAAGAGCGUGUAGGCGGUUCAGUAAGUCUGCUGUGAAAGUCCAAGGCUCAACCUUGGGAUGCCGGUGGAUACUGCUGAGCUAGAGUACGGAAGAGGCGAGUGGAAUUCCCGGUGUAGCGGUGAAAUGCGCAGAUAUCGGGAGGAACACCUAUUGCGAAGGCAGCUCGCUGGGACGUCACUGACGCUGAGACGCGAAAGCGUGGGGAGCAAACAGG